UACGGAGGGUGCAAGCGUUAUCCGGAUUCACUGGGUUUAAAGGGUGCGUAGGUGGGCUAGUAAGUCCGUGGUGAAAUCUCUGAGCUUAACUCGGAAACUGCCGUGGAUACUAUUAGUCUUGAAUCUCGUGGAGGUAAGCGGAAUAUGUCAUGUAGCGGUGAAAUGCUUAGAUAUGACAUAGAGCACCGAUAGCGAAGGCAGCUUGCUACACGAGUAUUGACACUGAGGCACGAAAGCGUGGGGAUCAAACAGG
rnacentral:rRNA from 1 species